GAUGAGCGCUGGCGGCGUGCCUAAUACAUGCAAGUCGAGCGAACGGACGAGAAGCUUGCUUCUCUGAUGUUAGCGGCGGACGGGUGAGCAACACGUGGAUAACCUACCUAUAAGACUGGGAUAACUUCGGGAAACCGGAGCUAAUACCGGAUAAUAUUUUGAACCGCAUGGUUCAAAAGUGAAAGACGGUCUUGCUGUCACUUAUAGAUGGAUCCGCGCUGCAUUAGCUAGUUGGUAAGGUAACGGCUUACCAAGGCAACGAUGCAUAGCCGACCUGAGAGGGUGAUCGGCCACACUGGAACUGAGACACGGUCCAGACUCCUACGGGAGGCAGCAGUAGGGAAUCUUCCGCAAUGGGCGAAAGCCUGACGGAGCAACGCCGCGUGAGUGAUGAAGGUCUUCGGAUCGUAAAACUCUGUUAUUAGGGAAGAACAUAUGUGUAAGUAACUGUGCACAUCUUGACGGUACCUAAUCAGAAAGCCACGGCUAACUACGUGCCAGCAGCCGCGGUAAUACGUAGGUGGCAAGCGUUAUCCGGAAUUAUUGGGCGUAAAGCGCGCGUAGGCGGUUUUUUAAGUCUGAUGUGAAAGCCCACGGCUCAACCGUGGAGGGUCAUUGGAAACUGGAAAACUUGAGUGCAGAAGAGGAAAGUGGAAUUCCAUGUGUAGCGGUGAAAUGCGCAGAGAUAUGGAGGAACACCAGUGGCGAAGGCGACUUUCUGGUCUGUAACUGACGCUGAUGUGCGAAAGCGUGGGGAUCAAACAGGAUUAGAUACCCUGGUAGUCCACGCCGUAAACGAUGAGUGCUAAGUGUUAGGGGGUUUCCGCCCCUUAGUGCUGCAGCUAACGCAUUAAGCACUCCGCCUGGGGAGUACGACCGCAAGGUUGAAACUCAAAGGAAUUGACGGGGACCCGCACAAGCGGUGGAGCAUGUGGUUUAAUUCGAAGCAACGCGAAGAACCUUACCAAAUCUUGACAUCCUUUGACAACUCUAGAGAUAGAGCUUUCCCCUUCGGGGGACAAAGUGACAGGUGGUGCAUGGUUGUCGUCAGCUCGUGUCGUGAGAUGUUGGGUUAAGUCCCGCAACGAGCGCAACCCUUAAGCUUAGUUGCCAUCAUUAAGUUGGGCACUCUGAGUUGACUGCCGGUGACAAACCGGAGGAAGGUGGGGAUGACGUCAAAUCAUCAUGCUCCUUAUGAUUUGGGCUACACACGUGCUACAAUGGACAAUACAAAGGGCAGCGAAACCGCGAGGUCAAGCAAAUCCCAUAAAGUUGUUCUCAGUUCGGAUUGUAGUCUGCAACUCGACUACAUGAAGCUGAAAUCGCUAGUAAUCGUAGAUCAGCAUGCUACGGUGAAUACGUUCCCGGGUCU
rnacentral:rRNA from 1 species